UACGUAGGGUGCGAGCAUUAAUCGGAAUUACUGGGCGUAAAGCGUGCGCAGGCGGUUCGUUAUGUCCGAUGUGAAAGCCCCGAGCUUAACUUGGGAAUGGCAUUGGAAACUGGCGGGCUGGAGUGCGGCAGAGGGGGGUGGAAUUCCACGUGUAGCAGUGAAAUGCGUAGAGAUGUGGAGGAACACCGAUGGCGAAGGCAGCCCCCUGGGCCGACACUGACGCUCAGGCACGAAAGCGUGGGGAGCAAACAGG
rnacentral:rRNA from 1 species